rnacentral:SRP_RNA from 1 species
CAGUUUUAAUAUCCGCCCAACCGAUUUUCAUCAUUGCCGAUAGAAGUGACAGCCGGGUCCCGCGCAACGGACGGUCGCCAACCCCGUCAGGCCCGGAAGGGAGCAGCGGCAACGACCUCAGCCGUGUGCCGCGGGGGUGCCUGGCUGUCACUUGUGGCGGCAAUA